rnacentral:rRNA from 1 species
AGAGUUUGAUUCUGGCUCAGAUUGAACGCUGGCGGCAGGCCUAACACAUGCAAGUCGAGCGGAUGAGUGGAGCUUGCUCCAUGAUUCAGCGGCGGACGGGUGAGUAAUGCCUAGGAAUCUGCCUGGUAGUGGGGGACAACGUUUCGAAAGGAACGCUAAUACCGCAUACGUCCUACGGGAGAAAGUGGGGGAUCUUCGGACCUCACGCUAUCAGAUGAGCCUAGGUCGGAUUAGCUAGUUGGUGAGGUAAAGGCUCACCAAGGCGACGAUCCGUAACUGGUCUGAGAGGAUGAUCAGUCACACUGGAACUGAGACACGGUCCAGACUCCUACGGGAGGCAGCAGUGGGGAAUAUUGGACAAUGGGCGAAAGCCUGAUCCAGCCAUGCCGCGUGUGUGAAGAAGGUCUUCGGAUUGUAAAGCACUUUAAGUUGGGGGGAAGGGCAGUAAGUUAAUACCUUGCUGUUUUGACGUUACCGACAGAAUAAGCACCGGCUAACUUCGUGCCAGCAGCCGCGGUAAUACGAAGGGUGCAAGCGUUAAUCGGAAUUACUGGGCGUAAAGCGCGCGUAGGUGGUUCGUUAAGUUGGAUGUGAAAGCCCCGGGCUCAACCUGGGAACUGCAUCCAAAACUGGCGAGCUAGAGUAUGGCAGAGGGUGGUGGAAUUUCCUGUGUAGCGGUGAAAUGCGUAGAUAUAGGAAGGAACACCAGUGGCGAAAGCGACCACCUGGGCUAAUACUGACACUGACGUGCGAAAGCGUGGGGAGCAAACAGGAUUAGAUACCCUGGUAGUC